UCUCCAAUAGUCUAGUGGCUCGGUGUUGGACUACCACUCCAGAGACCCGGGUUCAAUCCCCACACCGUGACAGAA